rnacentral:pre_miRNA from 1 species
UUAACUCAAAUUUGUAUAGAGUUUGAACGUUUGCCUACGUUUGCUGCUAGGGGCGCUGUUCCAGCGGUACACAAAUUUUAGUUA